GACGAACGCUGGCGGCGUGCUUAACACAUGCAAGUCGAACGGUGAAGGGAUCAGCUUGCUGGUUCUGGAUGAGUGGCGAACGGGUGAGUAACACGUGAGUAACCUGCCCCCUUCUUCUGGAUAACCGCAUGAAAGUGUGGCUAAUACGGGAUAUUCUGGGUCUGUCGCAUGAUGGGUCUGGGAAAGAUAUUGUUUCGGUGGGGGAUGGGCUCGCGGCCUAUCAGCUUGUUGGUGGGGUGAUGGCCUACCAAGGCGGUGACGGGUAGCCGGCCUGAGAGGGUGGACGGUGACACUGGGACUGAGACACGGCCCAGACUCCUACGGGAGGCAGCAGUGGGGAAUAUUGCACAAUGGGCGCAAGCCUGAUGCAGCGACGCCGCGUGAGGGAUGGAGGCCUUCGGGUUGUAAACCUCUUUCGCCAGUGAAGCAGGCCUGCUCCUUGUGGGUGGGUUGACGGUAGCUGGAUAAGAAGCGCCGGCUAACUACGUG
rnacentral:rRNA from 1 species